AUUUCUUUUCAUUAAAUAAAAUUUGGGAUGUUACACUCUGCCUCGGUGGUGUAUUUCUUAGGGCUUGUUUGGAUUGGAUUUUGGGUUAUGGGAGGUUUGUUCAGUUGAAAAACCCUAGUGAUGAAACUUUGAGAAGCCCUUUUAAGACUUCUAUAAGUUAGAGGUAAUUUUUGAGAGCUUCUCUGCUUAAAAAUAAAUAAUUAUUUUCAGCAAAGUAGAGAAUUAUUUUCGGUGGAGAAGCUCACAAAAGUAUUUCUACUUGAAAGUAGUUAGUUGAAUGUUUUCUUGUUGUCUUUCUUUUCUUUUUAGAUACUGGAUUCACAGGUAUUUACCUAGAAACAGUUAUCUGUUGAGGAUGAUGAACUUAUGGUUGCUACUGGUUUGGGGCAAGUAGAAAAAUGGUGUUAUAUUGUAUGCUAUUGAUAUCAUAUACGAAUUUAAUUAGCAUUGAUUUUAGAUAUAUUUUCCCGACCAAGCAUUUGUUUAUAAUAAAUAAAUUUUCAAGAGGAAAAAGAAAAUCUAUAUUGUAUCACAACUCCUGGUCUCUAUUAUAUAAGAGACUUGAAUCAAGUUCUGCAUGCUAAUGACCUUCCCUAAGGAAUACAUGUAAGUGGGUACAUGCAGAAUUUAUUUUUUUGCUAUACUAGGUUUAGUCUUUUGAGAGGUUUAAUUAAUUAUGUUAAUUAACACUGUUAUUUGUGGUUAUAUCACUACUUUUCUGGGGAGGCAAACUAGGGAACUUUUUGUUGAAGAAACCGCGUGAAGAGGCUACCACUGUCAAUCAAGGAAUAUAGUUCAUAUCACAAGCCUACUUUAGACGUGUAAAAACCCUACUGAUGGAAAAUAUCGAGAAACAUGAAGCAAAUAGGUGCCCCUGCUACCAAAAUAUAAUUCUGUGCAAAUAAUGGAGUAACAUAGGUAAUAUUUCUGGUUUUAAUGUCCUGUCUAUCAAUCUCAUCAUAUUUAAUAAAAUCAUCUAUGAUUG